UGGAUCCAGACUUUGAUCAUGCUCAGGACGAACGCUGGCGGCGUGCCUAACACAUGCAAGUCGAACGGAACUGUUUCGAAAGAUUUCUUCGGAAUGAAUUUGAUUUAGUUUAGUGGCGGACGGGUGAGUAACGCGUGAGUAACCUGCCUUCAAGAGGGGGAUAACAUUCUGAAAAGAAUGCUAAUACCGCAUGAUAUAUCGGAACCACAUGGUUUUGAUAUCAAAGAUUUUAUCGCUUGAAGAUGGACUCGCGUCCGAUUAGUUAGUUGGUGGGGUAACGGCUCACCAAGACCGCGAUCGGUAGCCGGACUGAGAGGUUGAACGGCCACAUUGGGACUGAGACACGGCCCAGACUCCUACGGGAGGCAGCAGUGGGGGAUAUUGCGCAAUGGGGGCAACCCUGACGCAGCAACGCCGCGUGAAGGAUGAAGGUUCUCGGAUUGUAAACUUCUUUUAUUAAGGACGAAAAAUGACGGUACUUAAUGAAUAAGCUCCGGCUAACUACGUGCCAGCAGCCGCGGUAAUACGUAGGGAGCAAGCGUUGUCCGGAUUUACUGGGUGUAAAGGGUGCGUAGGCGGCUUUGCAAGUCAGAUGUGAAAUCUAUGGGCUCAACCCAUAAACUGCAUUCGAAACUGUAGAGCUUGAGUGAAGUAGAGGCAGGCGGAACUCCCCGUGUAGCGGUGAAAUGCGUAGAGAUGGGGAGGAACACCAGUGGCGAAGGCGGCCUGCUGGGCUUUAACUGACGCUGAGGCACGAAAGCGUGGGUAGCAAACAGGAUUAGAUACCCUGGUAGUCCACGCUGUAAACGAUGAUUACUAGGUGUGGGGGGUCUGACCCCUUCCGUGCCGGAGUUAACACAAUAAGUAAUCCACUUGGGGAGUACGGCCGCAAGGUUGCAACUCAAAUGAAUUGACGGA
rnacentral:rRNA from 1 species